AACCAAAGGGUCACUGGUUCAAUUCCCAGUCAGGGCACAUGCCUGGGUUGCAAGCCAGGUACCUAGUAAGGGGCAUGGGGAAGGCAACAACACAUUGUCAAUUCUCUCCCUCUCUUUUUCCUCCCUUCCUCCCUCUAAAAAUAAAUGAAUAAAACCUUUAGGAAAAAAAAG